UACGUAGGGAGCAAGCGUUGUCCGGAAUCAUUGGGCGUAAGAGCGCGUAGGCGGUCCGGUAAGUCGGUUGUGAAAACUGGGGGCUCAACCCUCAGAGGCCGACCGAUACUGCCGGGCUAGAGUCCGGAAGAGGCGAGUGGAAUUCCUGGUGUAGCGGUGAAAUGCGCAGAUAUCAGGAGGAACACCGAUGGCGAAGGCAGCUCGCUGGGACGGUACUGACGCUGAGGCGCGAAAGCGUGGGGAGCAAACAGG
rnacentral:rRNA from 1 species